ACCAAGCUUCCAGGAAAAGCCACUAAGCUUCAGUCUAGAGUUGACCGUACCGCAAACCGACACAGGUGGGCAGGAUGAAAAUUCUAAGGCGCUUGAGAGAACUCAGGAGAAGGAACUCGGCAAAUUAACACCGUAACUUCGGGAGAAGGUGUGCCCCGGUAGCGUGUAGAGACUUGCCCUCGAAGCGCGAUGGGGUUGCAGUGAAAUGGUGGCUGCGACUGUUUAAUAAAAACACAGCACUCUGCAAACACGAAAGUGGACGUAUAGGGUGUGACGCCUGCCCGGUGCCGGAAGGUUAAGUGAUGGGGUGCAAGCUCUUGAUCGAGGCCCCGGUAAACGGCGGCCGUAACAAUAACGGUCCUAAGGUAGCGAAAUUCCUUGUCGGGUAAGUUCCGACCUGCACGAAUGGCGUAACGAUGGCCACACUGUCUCCUCCUGGGACUCAGCGAAGUUGAAAUGUUUGUGAAGAUGCAAUCUACCCGCGGCUAGACGGAAAGACCCCAUGAACCUUUACUGUAGCUUUGCAUUGGACUUUGAGCCGGUUUGUGUAGGAUAGGUGGGAGACUGUGAAGCCGGGACGCUAGUUUCGGUGGAGUCAACCUUGAAAUACCACCCUGAUUUGUUUGAGGUUCUAACCUUGGUCCGUGAAUCCGGGUCGGGGACCGUGCAUGGUAGGCAGUUUGACUGGGGCGGUCUCCUCCCAAAAGGUAACGGAGGAGUACGAAGGUACGCUUAGGGCGGUCGGACAUCGCCCACAAAGUGCAAUGGCAAAAGCGUGCUUGACUGCGAGACCCACAAGUCGAGCAGGUACGAAAGUAGGUCAUAGUGAUCCGGUGGUUCUGUAUGGAAGGGCCAUCGUUCAACGGAUAAAAGGUACUCUGGGGAUAACAGGCUAAUUCCUCCCAAGAGUUCAUAUCGACGGGGGAGUUUGGCACCUCGAUGUCGGCUCAUCACAUCCUGGGGCUGUAGUCGGUCCCAAGGGUAUGGCUGUUCGCCAUUUAAAGUGGUACGCGAGCUGGGUUUAAAACGUCGUGAGACAGUUUGGUCCCUAUCUGCCGUGGGCGCUGGAAAUUUGAAGGGGGCUGCUCCUAGUACGAGAGGACCGGGGUGGACGAACCUCUGGUGUACCGGUUAUGACGCCAGUCGUAUCGCCGGGUAGCUAAGUUCGGAAGAGAUAAACGCUGAAAGCAUCUAAGCGUGAAACUCGCCUUAAGAUAAGAUUUCCCGGAGUCUUGAACUCCCUGAAGGGUCGUCGAAGACCACGACGUUGAUAGGUCAGGUGUGGAAGCGCAGCAAUGCGUUAAGCUAACUGAUACUAAUUGCCCGUGUGGCUUGAC
rnacentral:rRNA from 1 species